rnacentral:rRNA from 1 species
GUAAGGAAUAUUGGACAAUGGACGCAAGUCUGAUCCAGCCAUGCCGCGUGAAGGAUUAAGGUCCUCUGGAUUGUAAACUUCUUUUAUAAGGGACGAAAAAAGGCUUUUCUAAGUCGUCUGACGGUACCUUAUGAAUAAGCACCGGCUAACUCCGUGCCAGCAGCCGCGGUAAUACGGAGGGUGCAAGCGUUAUCCGGAUUCACUGGGUUUAAAGGGUGCGUAGGCGGGCAGGUAAGUCAGUGGUGAAAUCCUAGAGCUUAACUCUAGAACUGCCAUUGAUACUAUAUGUCUUGAAUAUUGUGGAGGUAAGCGGAAUAUGUCAUGUAGCGGUGAAAUGCUUAGAUAUGACAUAGAACACCUAUUGCGAAGGCAGCUUACUACGCAUAUAUUGACGCUGAGGCACGAAAGCGUGGGGAUCAAACAGGAUUAGAAACCCGAGUAGUCC